GGCUGGGCUCAGUGGUAGAGCAUCUCCUUCCCACACAGAAGGGGCCAGGUUUGAUCUCUGGUAUCUCCA